rnacentral:rRNA from 1 species
CCUACGGGGGUUGCAGUGGGGAAUAUUGGACAAUGGGGGGAACCCUGAUCCAGCCAUGCCGCGUGUGUGAAGAAGGCCCUCGGGUUGUAAAGCACUUUCAGUGAGGAAGAACGCCUGGUGGUUAAUACCCAUCAGGAAAGACAUCACUCACAGAAGAAGCACCGGCUAACUCCGUGCCAGCAGCCGCGGUAAUACGGAGGGUGCGAGCGUUAAUCGGAAUUACUGGGCGUAAAGCGCGCGUAGGUGGCUUGAUAAGCCGGUUGUGAAAGCCCCGGGCUCAACCUGGGAACGGCAUCCGGAACUGUCAAGCUAGAGUGCAGGAGAGGAAGGUAGAAUUCCCGGUGUAGCGGUGAAAUGCGUAGAGAUCGGGAGGAAUACCAGUGGCGAAGGCGGCCUUCUGGACUGACACUGACACUGAGGUGCGAAAGCGUGGGUAGCAAACAGGAUUAGAUACCCCAGUAGUC